GAGUCUCGCUCUGUCGCCCAGGCUAGAGUGCAGUGGCUCAAUCUCAGCUCACUGCAAGCUCUGCCUCCUAGGUUCAUGCCAUUCUCCUGCCUCAGCCUCCCGAGUAGCUGGGACUAUAGGUGCCCGCCACCACGCUUGGCUAAUUUUCUGUAUUUUUAGUACAGACAGGGUUUCACCUGUGAGCCAGGACGGUCUCUAUCUCCUGACCUCAUGAUCCACCCACCUUGGCCUCCCAGAGUGCCCUUUUCUGUUCUGAUUGCUAAUGCAGGUAAGGAGACCAGCCCAAAGGCCUGUGUCUGGGUGACAGCCCACGAGGUGCCUCCCAUGCUAAUUCUUUUGAUACUGACGUUACUUUGUCCAUCCACCUCACGAAAUGGCUGGUGGUAUCUGGAGGCCAGGGAGGCAUUAUGCUUUGCCACCCUGUGCCUUCCCAUUUGCACCCUCUACAUGAGCAAUGUUCAGCUCAAAACCAAGUUAAAUUAAUCUGAAGAAUGCAGGGUCUUCAAAAACUGUGUUCUCCCGAUUUAAAGUGUGUGUAUGUACACACACUUAGCUCAUAAUCUUAAAUGAUUUAUCACAGUGACCAAAUACCAUCUAUUGUUAGGAAAAAUGCUUGCUUGCUUCUCAAGAUUGAGCUGGCUUCUGACUAUUCACAGAUGCUCUUCAUGUGUUAACUACUCAAUCUGAGGGGACUCACUGGACCAGGCCUGGAAUGAAACCUUCCCCCUCCUGGUUUUUGUCCACGAACUCCUAGUUCAGAAUGAACACUUAGGACUACACGUUCUCCUCUCAGAAGAAACACAGACCACCUGCCCAUUCCCACCAAACAAACCUCCUCAGAAAUCAACCUCCAAGCUUCCAGCAUGUGUUCCUUUGUCAAACCUUCAACAAUGUAAACAUCAUUAAUUUGCAUUUAAUGACUUUGGGACAUAAAAAUUGUUCUAUCCCUUCUCUCUUACUUAGACUAGGUGUAUGCUGCGUGAGCUAAUAAAUUCAGGCCUCCAGGUUACCUUAAAGUAUUUUUAACACAAGUUAACUAGUUCUUCGUUUGAAUUCUCCACUAUAUUUUGCUGGGUAACCUUUGCUCCUACUGCAGGGGGUGAGCUGUUAUUUAUUUAUUUAUUUUGAGACAGAGUCUCACUCUGUCGCCAGGCUGGAGUGCAGUGGCGCGAUCGCAGCUCACUGCAACCUCUGCCUCCCAGGUUCAAGCGAUUCUCCUGCUCCAGCCUCCCAAGCAGCGGGGACUACAGGCGCACACCACCAUGCCCAGCUAAGUUUUGUAUUUUUAGUAGAGACAGGGUUUCACCAUGUUGGCCAGGAUGGUCUUGAGGUCUUGAUCUCUUGACCUCAUGAUCCGCCUGCCUCAGCCUCCCAAAAUGCAGGCGUGAGCCACUGCACCUGGCCAAAUCUGCUGUUAUUUAAUGAGAAGCUAAAAGUGAAAAAUGGUUUUCGGACCUUGCUAUUCACAUUGCAGCUUCUAACAUUAACAAUGAUAACAGCAAGAUUCAGAAAUUAAAGUUGUAAAAAAUUCAAUAAGCCAAGCAAAUAGAUACUUUCUAGCCAAUUUUAAAAUUACUUCAUUUUUUGAUCUUAAGGAACCAUAUUAAAUUCAGGAUAAUGCAGCUAUUUUAAAAAGAAGAUAAAAAUCACACAUAAUGCUGGUGAUUAUGAGUUUCACAUUUUUGUCUUUUUUUCUGGAAACAGUCAACAUUCACUUCGUGACUCAGCAAAAGACAGAUUUAUCAUAUUUCACUAAGUUCCAACCUGGGUAUCAAUUUUAACUAAAGUUAAUUAAAAAUCCAGAAGAAUGCCUAUUUGAAAUCACUAACUGCUGUGUGUGUGUGUUUGUGUGUGUGUGUGUGUGUGUGUGUGUGUGUGUGUGAAGAGAUAACUGGAAGGAUGAUCCUAGAAGAUGUCAGUGGGAAGUGGGGUCAUUAUUAUUUUUUCUUUAUAUUUUUCUGCAUUUUAGAACAUUUAUAAUGAAUGCUGUUACCUUAUUUAAAAAGUUAAAAUUAUUCUAUUUUGAUAGAAAAUUUUCACUACCUGUCAUUUUGUUUUACAACAGUCAACUGAACUGUACCUUGAUGUCCUUUAGAGAUUACAAAAAUUGCCCCAAACAGUCAACCCCUUAGAAAGGUGUCAAAAAACAGACAAAUACAGAGGGAAAGUCAAACAGUCAGAUUUAACCCCAGGCCUCCCAUGUAUUUGGGACUGUGUCACGAUGGGUGAUCAUUAAUGCUCAGGAGCCCUGCUCCAUUGUGGAACAGCUGUAACAAUGUCAGACCAAUCUGGUUCAACUUUUAUGUAACCAAGCUGUGAGUUGCUUUUCGGUUGCCAUGGACUCUCAGGUUAAAGGUCACAAAACCUGGGCAUCCCUAGAUGAUCCAAGCAUGCAACCAUGGUCAGAACCUAAGCACUGGGACCAAGGAAUGGGACAGAAUUAAGUGGACAUUACAUGGCAGGAUCCAGAAUCCAAUAAGAUGGAGCUCUGGCAUCACCCCAUGACGGGAUCCAAUCAGAUUGUGCCUCCCAGCAUCACCUCAUCUCAAAAUCCAAUCAGAUUGGACCUCAUUAUCCUAUGCUCAUAAAAUGCAACCCAGGCCUCAGCUUUGGGAGAUAGAUUUGAGCAUAUCUUCCUGUCUCCUUGUCAGUCAAUUCACAAUUAACCUUGCUUGCUAUAAAAACCUAGUGCUUUGGUGUUUGGCUUUCUGUUGUGAACAGGCAAAUGGACCCAGUUUGGUUCGGUGACAGGGCUUAGCCUGGAGAAGCCACAGACAUCUCACACAUGGAGCUGGUUCUUUAGCAACAAAGACUAUUCGAAUGUGUUACAACUGCCCAACCCAAAGAAAACAGAAUACCACGUCCAUGAAAAACGGUUUAGUGAUUCCAGGAUAUUGUGUUAUUAUCCUGAAUUUGGUAAAGUAGAGGAAAUCAUCUUGACAGCCAUGAAACAUGAUUGAUAAGAGGUGUGAAAGAGCCCACUGAUAUUGACAGCC